AAACCACUGCUCAUGUGCAUUACUAUAAAAAGAUGAGAUUUCAUCGUUCCUGCUAUCCCAUCGUGUUUGCAUAGCUUGGUUGGAACACUGAGAUUUGCUGUCACAAUGAAGUUGGUCUUCCUGUUCAUCGUUCUAUGCCUUGCUCUCACUCAAGCUUAUUAUUACAACAAGCAUUACUAUUAUCCCAGCGUGUACAGAAAAUACUACUACCCAAAAAAAUAUUAUAGCCAUUACUACCGCCCUCGACGCCAUUACUACAGUCCC